AAACUCUUCACAACCCACCUAAAUGUUGAAAACCCAUACAGAGCAACUCUUUCUUCACCUUAGCUCAACCUGCUCCUAUUCAUAAAUCAACAAUUUCAGAAACACAAUCCAGAGACGGAUGGAAUUGACUUGUGAUGCAAGUUUUAAUUAAACCAUGGUAUAAGAGAGGUGGUCUUAAGGCUAGGGAGGCGUAGGAGAGUUAUGGUAGGAAGGCUUUGCAGGUGCAUGAGUGGGUACAGUAGGAGGGUGCAGUGUAGUGGAGGGGGAACAAACACGACAAAAAAUGUAUAACAAGAUGAGUGUUUGUAAUUCAAUAUAUCGUUUGAAUUGAUGUUUUGCAGAGGUAAAAUUUAUGUUUGACAUGAUGUUAGAAGCUUCUUAUUUGACUUGUUCAUGUUUGUUUCCACAAGU
rnacentral:lncRNA from 1 species